CCUACGGGUGGCAGCAGUGGGGAAUUUUGCGCAAUGGACGAAAGUCUGACGCAGCAACGCCGCGUGGGUGAUGAAGGUCUUCGGAUUGUAAAACCCUGUCGUCGAGGACGAAGGUCGGAGUGUUAAUAGCACUUUGGCUUGACGGUACUCGGAGAGGAAGCCCCGGCUAACUCUGUGCCAGCAGCCGCGGUAAUACAGAGGGGGCAAGCGUUAUUCGGAAUGAUUGGGGGUAAAUGGCGCGGAGGCGGGUGCAAUCCCCGAGCUCAACUUGGGAACUGCAUCCGAGACUGGAAGGCUAGAGUACUGGAGAGGUUGGUGGAAUUCCACGUGUAGCGGUGAAAUGCGUAGAGAUGUGGAGGAACACCAGUGGCGAAGGCGGCCAACUGGACAGUAACUGACGCUGAGGCGCGAAAGUGUGGGUAGCAAACAGGAUUAGAUACCCGGGUAGUC
rnacentral:rRNA from 1 species